GUGGAGGACCGAACUGGUUGUCGUUGAAAAGACUUCGGAUGACCUGAGGGUAGGGGUGAAAGGCCAAUCAAACUGGGAAAUAGCUCGUACUCCCCGAAAUGCAUUUAGGUGCAGCGUUGUAAUAAAGUUUAAUAGAGGUAGAGCUACUGAUUGGAUGCGGGGGUUUCACCGCCUACCAAUUCCUGACAAACUCCGAAUGCUAUUAAAUGUUUCACAGCAGUGAGGGCUUGGGUGCUAAGGUCCAAGUCCGAGAGGGAAAGAACCCGGACCAUCAGCUAAGGUCCCCAAAUAUAUGCUAAGUUGACCAAACGCGGUCUGACUGCACUGACAGCUAGGAUGUUGGCUUGGAAGCAGCCAUACAUUUAAAGAGUGCGUAACAGCUCACUAGUCGAGCGGUUGGGCAUGGAUAAUAAACGGGCAUAAGCAUAUUACCGAAGCUAUGGGGUUAUACAUUAGUAUAUACCGGUAGGGGAGCAUUCUAUUGGCGUUGAAGCUAAAGGCGUGAGCCAUAGUGGAGCCUAAUAGAAAAGAAAAUGUAGGCAUAAGUAACGAUAAGGCAGGCGAGAAACCUGCCCGCCGAAAGAUCAAGGUUUCCUCAGCUAUGCUAAUCAGCUGAGGGUUAGUCGGGGACUAACGCGAACCCGAGUAGGGGUAGUGGAUGUACAAUAGGUUAAUAUUCCUAUACCAUUAGUCUAUUAAAAGUGACGGAAUGAGAUAGCUACCGCGUACUGACGGAAUAGUACGUUUAAGGAGUUGUUAUGACUUCAAAAGUACACUGAGGCUUCGGCUGAUGUGAGAGUGGCGACAACGUUUCCAAGAAAAGCGAAGAUUAAUGCCCGUACCGUAAACCGACACAGGUGAUUGGGAUGAGAAUUCUAAGGCGCUCGAGAGAUUCAUGGCUAAGGAACUAGGCAAAAUAGACCUGUAACUUCGGGAGAAAGGUCGCCUAUCGUAAGAUAGGCCGCAGUGAAAAGGUCCAAGCGACUGUUUAUCAAAAACACAGGACUCUGCAAAAUCGAAAGAUGAGGUAUAGGGUCUGACACCUGCCCGGUGCUGGAAGGUUAAGAGGAGAGCUUAGCAGCAAUGCGAAGGUUUGAAUUGAAGCCCCAGUAAACGGCGGCCGUAACUAUAACGGUCCUAAGGUAGCGAAAUUCCUUGUCGGGUAAGUUCCGACCUGCACGAAUGGUGUAACGAUUUGGACACUGUCUCGGCCAUGAGCUCGGUGAAAUUGUAGUAUCGGUGAAGAUGCCGAUUACCCGCAGUGGGACGAAAAGACCCUGUGCACCUUUACUAUAUCUUCGUAUUGGUCUUGGAUAAGUGAUGCGUAGGAUAGGUGGGAGACUAAGAAGCGGCUAUUCCGGUAGUUGUGGAGUCAUUGUUGAAAUACCACCCUUUGCUUAUCUGAGGUCUAACCCUGCUAAGAGUAGGGGACAAUUCGUGGAGGGUAGUUUGACUGGGGUGGUCGCCUCCAAAAGUGUAACGGAGGCUUCUAAAGGU
rnacentral:rRNA from 1 species